AGGAUCCGAGCGUUAUCCGGAUUUAUUGGGUUUAAAGGGAGCGUAGAUGGAUGUUUAAGUCAGUUGUGAAAGUUUGCGGCUCAACCGUAAAAUUGCAGUUGAUACUGGAUAUCUUGAGUGCAGUUGAGGCAGGCGGAAUUCGUGGUGUAGCGGUGAAAUGCUUAGAUAUCACGAAGAACUCCGAUUGCGAAGGCAGCCUGCUAAGCUGCAACUGACAUUGAGGCUCGAAAGUGUGGGUAUCAAACAGGAUUAGAUACCCUGGUAGUCCACACGGUAAACGAUGAAUACUCGCUGUUUGCGAUAUACAGCAAGCGGCCAAGCGAAAGCGUUAAGUAUUCCACCUGGGGAGUACGCCGGCAACGGUGAAACUCAAAGGAAUUGACGGGGGCCCGCACAAGCGGAGGAACAUGUGGUUUAAUUCGAUGAUACGCGAGGAACCUUACCCGGGCUUAAAUUGCAGAUGAAUUACGGUGAAAGCCGUAAGCCGCAAGGCAUCUGUGAAGGUGCUGCAUGGUUGUCGUCAGCUCGUGCCGUGAGGUGUCGGCUUAAGUGCCAUAACGAGCGCAACCCUUGUUGUCAGUUACUAACAGGUUCCGCUGAGGACUCUGACAAGACUGCCAUCGUAAGAUGUGAGGAAGGUGGGGAUGACGUCAAAUCAGCACGGCCCUUACGUCCGGGGCUACACACGUGUUACAAUGGGGGGUACAGAGGGCCGCUACCACGCGAGUGGAUGCCAAUCCCAAAAACCUCUCUCAGUUCGGACUGGAGUCUGCAACCCGACUCCACGAAGCUGGAUUCGCUAGUAAUCGCGCAUCAGCCACGGCGCGGUGAAUACGUUCCCGGGCCUUGCACUCACCGCCCGU
rnacentral:rRNA from 1 species